CUCAGGAUGAACGCUAGCUACAGGCUUAACACAUGCAAGUCGAGGGGAAACGACAUUGGAAGCUUGCUUCCGAUGGGCGUCGACCGGCGCACGGGUGAGUAACGCGUAUCCAACCUGCCCACCACUUGGGGAUAACCUUGCGAAAGUAAGACUAAUACCCGAUGAUAUCCCUAGAAGACAUCUGAAAGGGAUUAAAGAUUUAUCGGUGAUGGAUGGGGAUGCGUCUGAUUAGCUUGUUGGCGGGGUAACGGCCCACCAAGGCGACGAUCAGUAGGGGGUUCUGAGAGGAAGGUCCCCCACAUUGGAACUGAGACACGGUCCAAACUCCUACGGGAGGCAGCAGUGAGGAAUAUUGGUCAAUGGACGCAAGUCUGAACCAGCCAAGUAGCGUGCAGGAUGACGGCCCUAUGGGUUGUAAACUGCUUUUAUGCGGGGAUAAAGUUAGGGAUGUAUCCCUUUUGCAGGUACCGCAUGAAUAAGGACCGGCUAAUUCCGUG
rnacentral:rRNA from 1 species